UACGGGGGGGGCAAGCGUUGUUCGGAAUUACUGGGCGUAAAGGGCUCGUAGGCGGCCAACUAAGUCAGACGUGAAAUCCCUCGGCUUAACCGGGGAACUGCAUCUGAUACUGGAUGGCUUGAGAUUGGGAGAGGGAUGCGGGAUUCCAGGUGUAGCGGUGAAAUGCGUAGAUAUCUGGAGGAACACCGGUGGCGAAGGCGGCAUCCUGGACCAACACUGACGCUGAGGAGCGAAAGCCAGGGGAGCAAACGGG
rnacentral:rRNA from 1 species